AUUGAACGCUGGCGGCAUGCUUUACACAUGCAAGUCGAACGGUAGAGGGGGCAACCCCUUGAGAGUGGCGAACGGGUGAGUAAUGCAUCGGAACGUGCCCAGUCGUGGGGGAUAACGCAGCGAAAGCUGUGCUAAUACCGCAUACGAUCUCUGGAUGAAAGCGGGGGACCGAAAGGCCUCGCGCGAUUGAAGCGGCCGAUGUCAGAUUAGGUAGUUGGUGGGGUAAAGGCCUACCAAGCCAACGAUCUGUAGCUGGUCUGAGAGGACGACCAGCCACACUGGGACAGAGACACGGCCCAGACACCUACGGGAGGCAGCAGUGGGGAAUUUUGGACAAUGGGCGCAAGCCUGAUCCAGCAAUGCCGCGUGCAGGAAGAAGGCCUUCGGGUUGUAAACUGCUUUUGUACGGAACGAAACGGUCUGGGUUAAUACCCUGGGCUAAUGACGGUACCGUAAGAAUAAGCACCGGCUAACUACGUGCCAGCCGCCGCCGUAA
rnacentral:rRNA from 1 species